rnacentral:lncRNA from 1 species
CCCCCAUGAUAAAUUGUCCCGCAUAUGUACCAGUAAUUGUGCUACUCUGGCCGGCUGCUAACAACCCAAUACCCCAUAUAUACAGGAUUGGGAAAAGUCCACCCCCGUACUUCUCCUGAAGGUACUGACCUGCGUUUACAAGACCAAUGUUGUUUGCUAUUUCAGUACCAUAAAAGCCCUUGGCAAACACAGUUGUAACAAAUAUAUUAAUGACAAAGGACACCGCAAGGGCGAUGGUGGACUCUAUCGAGUAGUAAUUAAGAGCUUCCUGAACACGGCCUUUCUUGCUGGGGUCAACCUGCCUAGAUUGAACAAGCGCAGAAUGCAAAAACACAUUGUGAGGCAUAAUAAUGCAACCCACAACUCCAACAGCUUGUUGUAUAGUUCUGGAGCUAAG